CUUUUUGUCAGCAUCAAAAGAAUAUGGGAGAAAUCAUGCAUGGCAAAAUUCAGUCUAAGUGCAGUGAAUAAACAGUUAAAACAGUAACUGAUAUAGCAUACUAGUUUAAAGUUCAGAGAAACUAAAAGUAGCAAACUAAGUAGUAAACUAACAGACAGACUGUUAGAUAAAAUGUAAUCAAAGUUCAGUUUAUCCUUUCAGCCUGGAACUUCUCCUGAUUGGUUUUGGAGCACCCAUUUUCAGCUUUUUGGGCUUGAUAGGUUUGUCACUCAAAGUUUGAAGGAUUGCAGCAGCCAAUUCAGUCCCGGGUGUCAAAGGAACAAUAGGCCCAGCUGCUAACUCAGUAGUGCCAGACUCAGCUGCAGACUUUUUG
rnacentral:misc_RNA from 1 species